rnacentral:rRNA from 1 species
CAGCCGCCGCGGUAAUACGUAGGGUGCAAGCGUUAAUCGGAAUUACUGGGCGUAAAGCGUGCGCAGGCGGUUAUAUAAGACAGAUGUGAAAUCCCCGGGCUCAACCUGGGAACUGCAUUUGUGACUGUAUAGCUAGAGUACGGCAGAGGGGGAUGGAAUUCCGCGUGUAGCAGUGAAAUGCGUAGAUAUGCGGAGGAACACCGAUGGCGAAGGCAAUCCCCUGGGCCUGUACUGACGCUCAUGCACGAAAGCGUGGGGAGCAAACAGGAUUAGAUACCCCUGUAGUCCCUGUCUCUUAUAA